UGGGUAACCUGCCUCAAAGAGGGGAAUAGCCUCCCGAAAGGGAGAUUAAUACCGCAUAAUAUGUUUAGGUCGCAUGACUUUAACAUCAAAGGAUUUUCUUUUAGAAAUUCCACUUUGAGAUGGACCCGCGGCGCAUUAGCUAGUUGACGAGGUAACGGCUCACCAAGGCAACGAUGCGUAGCCGACCUGAGAGGGUGAUCGGCCACAUUGGAACUGAGACACGGUCCAUACUCCUAGGGAGG
rnacentral:rRNA from 1 species